CUUGACAACCACAUUUCAUUAUACUUUUAGUGUGGAACAUAAGCAUUCUAUAUGAAAUUUGCAUUCUUAUCUCAGGAGAACUAGCAUAUAAUUUUUCGAUGAUACUAUUAUUGCUUCAAUUUUCUGGUUAGAGUUUCCAUUUCAUAUUUUUCAUCUCUUUGGAGAUAUGUUUACUCAAAAAAUCGUAAUAGCAUAUUUAAUAUUCAUAAUGAAUAUCAAAUAAGACAAUCAACCAACAUAGCUAAAUUAUAAUGAUUGUUUUCGAUGUAUGGGUUGAUUAUUCGUAAUGACAGUGAAUAGAUACUGGCCAUAUAGAUAUAGCAUCUAUACGAAACACCCUUUUAGUUGGGUCUUUUUUUUAUUUAAUUUAUCUACAUGACAGGUUAUUCUAUUUGAUAUCAUGUUAGGUAGUCAGAAAACAUUUGUUAAGAACUUAAUUAAGGGUUUAUGUUUUUAGAUAGUUUUGUUUUAAAUUGUUUCGGGACGCUCUAGUCUUGCAAUGAGGCAUACUUAAAAGUUUCAAAGAGUUUGUGAAAAAUGCUACAGUAGUUUGCUAUUUUUCUUAAGUUGUUUAUAAACAUGUAGCUCUCAUUUAAGGCCCUGUUGUCCCUCCUCCAUGUUACUUUCCAUAGUCUUAUAUUUCCUAUUUUGUGUUAAUUUCUAAGCAUUGUUUGACAAGUUUGCAUAAAUGACCAAAAUGUUAUUUUUUAUGUAGUCCAUAUGAAGCUAGUUUUAAGGAUGAUAUCUUUCUUAUGAAACAUCUUGUAGCUCUUCAAUUCAUUGGACUCUAAUUCAUAGUUGUAAGUUUAAAAUCCUUGAGGUAGAAGAAGCUCAGGUUUUAAGGGCCCUUGCCUUCUUUCCCAAAAUCUCAGUUUUCAUUUUCACACCCUUCUUUGCCUUUCACUGAUGAAACCACCUUUUUUUUUAUAUUAUUUUUUUUACUUUUCACUUGCAAUUAAUACAGGGAAAUAUUCUUUAUCGAUUUCCAUCACUACAACGUACAGCUUCUCCUCAGAGGAGUGGAAGGAAGGAAUAUCUUUUCAGUAUUGUUGUCCAUUGCGAGAGUCCGGAAGUUUAGUGAGUGUUCAAUCGGAAUUUUGAAGACAACAAUAACUACAUCAUACCGUGAUUACAGUUUUUCCAAGGUUUGUAAUUGGCUACCGAAUGACUUGAAGGAAGAAUAUGUGCAUAGUGUGAAAGUAGUGGAGAAGGCGGUGUUGAGAGCUGUAAUUUUCCCUUGUUUUUCCAUUCUGUUCAUUUGAAAUCAUGUGUGCCAUGGCAGACAUGAAGAUGUGAAUAAGAUAUAUGUUCUUAUUGCUAAACUUUAGUGAGAUGAUGCUAGUGAUGCCCUUUCUUCUGUUAGCUUUAUA